rfam:Acyrthosiphon pisum strain LSR1 Contig30413, whole genome shotgun sequence.
GUGCCUUAAACUAAUGAGUAAGGAAAAUUUACAAGCCUUGGUGACGCUUGGCUUCAACAGUACAAUCUGUUACCUUUAAUUUUUUGAAGGGUAAAGGUCGUCCCCUUGACUGGCCCGCCUACUUUGCGGGCUAGUCGGGCGAUAGCGAUCUGCCCU